CCGUUACAAACUGUAAAGAUUUCUUAAAUAUUUACAUUAAUAAUAGCUAUGAAAAAACAUAUGCCAAUUACUUGAGCACCAACUAAUUCUUAAAACCGCACGCAACUUACAGUAAUGGUGCUUGAAAAAGGGUACAGUACGUUUACACACAAACGAUCAGUCGGCCGAUUUCAGGUAUUGCCGAAUGUUAAAAUGACAAACGUUAUAUCAGUUGACAACACAGAGUAGACAGA